rnacentral:rRNA from 1 species
UUGGCCUUGACAUACUAAGAACUUUCCAGAGAUGGAUUGGUGCCUUCGGGAACUUAGAUACAGGUGCUGCAUGGCUGUCGUCAGCUCGUGUCGUGAGAUGUUGGGUUAACGUCCGCAACGAGCGCAACCCUUUUCCUUAUUUGCCAGCGGGUAAUGCCGGGAACUUUAAGGAUACUGCCAGUGACAAACUGGAGGAAGGCGGGGACGACGUCAAGUCAUCAUGGCCCUUACGGCCAGGGCUACACACGUGCUACAAUGGUCGGUACAAAGGGUUGCUACCUCGCGAGAGGAUGCUAAUCUCAAAAAGCCGAUCGUAGUCCGGAUCGCAGUCUGCAACUCGACUGCGUGAAGUCGGAAUCGCUAGUAAUCGCGGAUCAGAAUGCCGCGGUGAAUACGUUCCCGGGCCUUGUACACACCGCCCGUCACACCAUGGGAGUUUGUUGCACCAGAAGUAGGUAGUCUAACCGCAAGGAGGACGCUUACCACGGUGUGGCCGAUGACUGGGGUGAAGUCGUAACAAGGUAAGCGUAGAUGA